GGACUAUCAUGUCGGUCGUGCCUCGGUACGUACUGGUAUUGUUGGUUUCUCCCUUCUGACGAAUCAUGAUGUCAUUUAUUUGGUGUUGUGGGGAAUCAGGACUGUUACUUUGAAAAAAUUAGAGUGUUUAAAGCAGGCUCACGCUUGAAUACGUUAGCGUGGAAUAAUGAAAUAGGACGUUCGAUCCUAUUUUGUUGGUUUCUAGGAUUGACGUA
rnacentral:rRNA from 1 species